rnacentral:rRNA from 1 species
GACGAACGCUGGCGGCGUGCCUAAUACAUGCAAGUUGAGCGCUGAAGGUUGGUACUUGUACCAACUGGAUGAGCAGCGAACGGGUGAGUAACGCGUGGGGAAUCUGCCUUUGAGCGGGGGACAACAUUUGGAAACGAAUGCUAAUACCGCAUAAAAACUUUAAACACAAGUUUUAUGUUUGAAAGAUGCAAUUGCAUCACUCAAAGAUGAUCCCGCGUUGUAUUAGCUAGUUGGUGAGGUAAAGGCACACCAAGGCGAUGAUACAUAGCCGACCUGAGAGGGUGAUCGGCCACAUUGGGACUGAGACACGGCCCAAACUCCUACGGGAGGCAGCAGUAGGGAAUCUUCGGCAAUGGACGAAAGUCUGACCGAGCAACGCCGCGUGAGUGAAGAAGGUUUUCGGAUCGUAAAACUCUGUUGGUAGAGAAGAACGUUGGUGAGAGUGGAAAGCUCAUCAAGUGACGGUAACUACCCAGAAAGGGACGGCUAACUACGUG